AAGGGUGUGGUGCAACGGCAGCACGGCGGCUUCCAACUCCGCAGAUCUGGGUUCGAAUCCCGGCACCUUUGCCA
rnacentral:tRNA from 1 species